UUAGAAUGAAGAAAAUAAAAGUUAUUUGAUGAGAAAAUUCGAAUGGCCAUAACUUGGUUAUAACUUGGUUAUUACUUUGAAUUUUUUCAUCAAAUAACUUUUAUUUUCUUCAUUCUUUCUUGUGCAGCAGC
rnacentral:sRNA from 1 species